AUCUGUAAGUGAGUAGAUGAUAGCGCCUUCCUAAUAGUGUUGGGAUGCCUAGUGUGCUUUGUUCUGGCAAUGGCGGUAUUUCGCAGCCUCCUUUCCUUCUGCACCCUCGACUUCUCCAGGACUGUGUGGAGGUGGAGGCAGUGACCCCUUGGCUCCUGGCAGCAGGGCCCUAUGCAUAAUCAACGUUUGUAUCAACUUUCUGUAAA
rnacentral:lncRNA from 1 species